rnacentral:rRNA from 1 species
AUGGCUUCCUCUGCCUCCGUCUCCGGGAGAGGAGGAGGCUUCCUCUUGCCGCCGGCCGCGGUGGCGGCGGCGGUGCUGCUAGCGGUGGCGGUGGUACAUGCGCGGGGGGCUCCCGCGGCGCCGUGCGUUCCGCGGGUGUUCAGCUUCGGGGACUCGCUGGCGGACACGGGCAACUUCCCCUUCCUCUACGGCAACGACUCCCGCGAGCCCGCGCUCAGGACGCCCUACGGGGAGACAUUCUUCCGCCGCGCCACCGGCCGCUUCUCCGACGGCCGCCUCAUCGUCGACUUCAUCGCGGACACGAUGGGGCUGCCGUUCGUGCGGCCGUACCUGAGCGGGCGAACCGCGGAGGACUUCGCGUCCGGGGCCAACUUCGCGGUCGGCGGCGCCAUGGCGCUGGGCCCGGACUUCUUUCGGGGGAGAGGGGUGCCCAUGGGCGACCGCAUGCACCUCGGCGUCGAGAUGAAAUGGUUCCACGACCUGCUCGAUCUGCUCUGCCCCGCCGACCGGGCUGAUUGCAUGGGCAUGAUGAAUCAAUCUCUCUUCUUGGUUGGAGAAAUUGGGGGCAAUGAUUACAACAUACCUCUUCUCUCUAGGGUUCCCUUUGAGAAGAUUCGCACGUUCACUCCGAGUGUUGUUGCCAAAAUUUCUUCUACAGUCACUGAGUUGAUUGGUCUGGGAGCCAAAACAUUGGUAGUUCCUGGUAACCUCCCCAUCGGGUGCGUUCCAAACUACCUGAUGAUAUUCAAGAGUGACAAGAAGGAAGAUUACGAGCCAGAGACUGGUUGCCUACGGUGGAUGAACGAAUUCUCGAAGUACCACAACAGACUUCUCAUUGAUGAGUUGGAAAAGUUGCGCAAGCUUCAUCCUGGCAUGUCAAUAAUCUAUGCCGAUUACUAUGGAGCUGCUAUGGAGAUCUACCGUUCCCCCGAACAAUUUGGGAUUGAUCACCCUUCAGCAGCAUGCUGCGGUGGAGGAGGACCCUAUGGUGUGUCCAUGACUGCAAGAUGUGGAUAUGGAGAAUACAAGGUGUGUGAUGAUCCACAAAAGUAUGGAUCAUGGGAUGGUUUCCAUCCCUCAGAAGCUGCAUAUAAGGGCAUCGCAAUUGGCCUUCUAAGAGGAACAUACACACAGCCUUCAAUUUCUACCACCAUCAGUUCAUGCCCACAACUUACUGAACUUGGCUCUUCCGUUGAAUACAAGAACUGCGGUACUGUUCUACACCUCACGGUUGUUGCUCAAGUGAUUGGCUGGCUUUUAUUUUCCGUUCACUUUUUAUAG